UACGGAGGGUGCUAGCGUUGUUCGGAAUCACUGGGCGUAAAGCGCGUGUAGGCGGCCCAUUAAGUCUGAUGUGAAAGCCCGGGGCUCAACCCCGGAACGGCACCCGAGACUGGGUGGCUUGAGACCGGGAGAGGUGGGGUGGAAUACCCAGUGUAGAGGUGAAAUGCGCAGAUAUCAGGAGGAACACCGAUGGCGAAGGCAGCUCGCUGGGACGGUACUGACGCUGAGGAGCGAAAGCGUGGGGAGCGAACAGG
rnacentral:rRNA from 1 species